rnacentral:rRNA from 1 species
GACGUAGGGCGCGAGCGUUGUCCGGAUUUAUUGGGCGUAAAGAGCUCGUAGGCGGCUUGUCGCGUCGACUGUGAAAUCCCGCGGCUCAACUGCGGGUCUGCAGUCGAUACGGGCAGGCUAGAGUUCGGUAGGGGAGAUUGGAAUUCCUGGUGUAGCGGUGGAAUGCGCAGAUAUCAGGAGGAACACCGAUGGCGAAGGCAGAUCUCUGGGCCGUAACUGACGCUGAGGAGCGAAAGCGUGGGGAGCGAACAGG